rnacentral:rRNA from 1 species
ACGAACGCUGGCGGCGUGCUUCACACAUGCAAGUCGAACGGAAAGGCCCUGCUUGCAGGGUGCUCGAGUGGCGAACGGGUGAGUAACACGUGGGUGAUCUGCCCCUUACUUUGGGAUAAGCCUGGGAAACUGGGUCUAAUACUGGAUAGGACCAUGCUGUAGGUGGUGUGGUGGAAAGAUUUUUUCGGUAAGGGAUGAGCUCGCGGCCUAUCAGCUUGUUGGUGGGGUAAUGGCCUACCAAGGCGUCGACGGGUAGCCGGCCUGAGAGGGUGGACGGCCACAUUGGGACUGCGAUACGGCCCAGACUCCUACGGGAGGCAGCAGUGGGGAAUAUUGCACAAUGGGCGCAAGCCUGAUGCAGCGACGCCGCGUGGGGGAUGACGGCCUUCGGGUUGUAAACUCCUUUCAGCCAUGACGAAGCCUCUUUUGGGGUGACGGUAGUGGUAGAAGAAGCACCGGCUAACUACGUG